CCUACGGGUGGCUGCAGUGGGGAAUAUUGGGCAAUGGGGGCAAGCCUGACCCAGCAACGCCGCGUGAAGGAUGAAGGCUUUCGGGUUGUAAACUUCUUUUCUGCGGGACGAAGAAAGUGACGGUACCGCAGGAAUAAGCCACGGCUAACUACGUGCCAGCAGCCGCGGUAAUACGUAGGUGGCAAGCGUUAUUCGGAUUUAUUGGGUGUAAAGGGCGAGUAGGCGGGAAUGCAAGUCAGAUGUGAAAACUAUGGGCUCAACCCUGAGAGUGCAUUUGAAACUGUUGUUCUUGAGUGCUGGAGAGGCAAUCGGAAUUCCGGGUGUAGCGGUGAAAUGCGUAGAUAUACGGAGGAACACCAGUGGCGAAGGCGGACUGCUGGACAGUAACUGACGCUGAGGCGCGAAAGCGUGGGGAGCAAACAGGAUUAGAUACCCUGGUAGUC
rnacentral:rRNA from 1 species